AUACAUACAGGAUCUAGAAUACAACUGUCCUCUUCUUCCCCAGGUGUACCUGCUUGUUCUCAGUGUCACCACUCUGUCCUCUUCUUCCCCAGGUGUACCUGCUGGUUCUCAGUGUCACCACUCUGUCCUCUUCUUCCCCAAGUGUACCUGCUGGUUCUCAGUGUCACCACUCUGUCCUCUUCUUCCCCAGGUGUACCUGCUGGUUCUCAGUGUCACCACUCUGUCCUCUUCUUCCCCAGGUGUACCUGCUGGUUCUCAGUGUCACCUCUCUGUCCUCUUCUUCCCCAGGUGUACCUGCUGGUUCUGUGUCACCACUCUGUCCUCUUCUUCCCCAGGUGUACCUGCUUGUUCUCAGUGUCACCACUCUGUCCUCUUCUUCCCCAGGUGUACCUGCUGGUUCUCAGUGUCACCACUCUGUCCUCUUCUUCCCCAGGUGUACCUGCUGGUUCUCAGUUUCACCACUCUGUCCUCUUCUUCCCCAGGUGUACCUGCUGGUUCUCAGUGUCACCACUCUGUCCUCUUCUUCCCCAGGUGUACCUGCUGGUUCUCAGUGUCACCACUCUGUCCUCUUCUUCCCCAGGUGUACCUGCUGGUUCUCAGUGUCACCACUCUGUCCUCUUCUUCCCCAGGUGUACCUGCUGGUUCUCAGUGUCACCACUCUGUCCUCUUCUUCCCCAGGUGUACCUGCUGGUUCUCAGUGUCACCACUCUGUCCUCUUCUUCCCCAGGUGUACCUGCUGGUUCUCAGUGUCACCACUCUGAGUCUUCUGCUGGCUCCGGUGUUGUGGAGAGCUGCCACACACAAGUGGGUCCCUCGAGCCGAACGCAAGACGCUCGCCCGCCCGCCCCCACUGCUGCCACACCCAGCAGACUGAAGCCCAUAGGGGCCCUGCAAAAGGGCCGAAGGGUCAAAGGUCAUUCUCCCUCUUUCCAUGGAGAAAAUCCUAAUGACCCAUUAUCUUUGGAUCAUUGGUUGCAUCCAAAACGGCACCCUGUUCCCUACAUAGAGCCCUGA
rnacentral:lncRNA from 1 species